UACAGAGGGUGCAAGCGUUAAUCGGAAUUACUGGGCGUAAAGCGUGCGUAGGUGGUGGUUUAAGUCUGCUGUGAAAGCCCUGGGCUCAACCUGGGAAUUGCAGUGGAUACUGGGUCACUAGAGUGUGGUAGAGGGAUGCGGAAUUUCCGGUGUAGCAGUGAAAUGCGUAGAGAUCGGAAGGAACAUCCGUGGCGAAGGCGGCAUCCUGGGCCAACACUGACGCUGAGGCGCGAAAGCGUGGGGAGCAAACAGG
rnacentral:misc_RNA from 1 species